GUUGAUCCUGCCGGUGGCCACUGCUAUCGGGGUUCGAUUAAGCCAUGCGAGUCGAGAGGUGUAAGACCUCGGCAUACUGCUCAGUAACACGUGGACAACCUACCCUGAGGAGGGGGAUAACCCCGGAAAACUGGGGAUAAUACCCCAUAGAUUAGGGAGGCUGGAAUGCCCCCUAGUUCAAAGGUCCGCCGCCUCAGGAUGGGUCUGCGGCCGAUUAGGUUGUUGUUGGGGUAAAGGCCCAACAAGCCUUUGAUCGGUACGGGUUGUGGGAGCAAGAGCCCGGAGAUGGAUUCUGAGACACGAAUCCAGGCCCUACGGGGCGCAGCAGGCGCGAAAACUUUACAAUGCGAGAAAUCGUGAUAAGGGAACCCCGAGUGCCCGUAAAUUCGGGCUGUCCGCCAGUGCAAAAAACUGGUGAAGAAAGAGCCGGGCAAGACCGGUGCCAGCCGCCGCGGUAAUACCGGCGGCUCGAGUGGUGGCCACUAUUACUGGGCUUAAAGCGUCCGUAGCUUGGUUGUUAAGUCUUCUGGGAAAUCCAUCGGCUUAACCGAUGGGAGUUCAGGAGAUACUGGCAACCUAGGGACCGGGAGCGGUGAGAGGUACUCCAGGGGUAGGAGUGAAAUCCUGUAAUCCUUGGGGGACCACCUGUGGCGAAGGCGUCUCACUAGAACGGCUCCGACAGUGAGGGACGAAAGCUGGGGGAGCAAACCGGAUUAGAUACCCGGGUAGUCCCAGCUGUAAACGAUGCGCGUUAGGUGUAUCGGUGACCACGAGUCACCGAGGUGCCGAAGGGAAACCGUGAAACGUGCCGCCUGGGAAGUACGGUCGCAAGGCUGAAACUUAAAGGAAUUGGCGGGGGAGCACCACAAGGG
rnacentral:rRNA from 1 species